GUCCAGUAGAGAACCUCCUAGCGAGCGGGCCUGGAGAGGAGGGGAAGUCUCCCCGCCAGCCAGGGGUCUGCCAGGGUGUUACUGCGUGACCUUGGCCAGGCACACGGCCUCUCUGCACUCUGUCCUCACCUUUAGUCGGGUUAAUUUUGCCUGCUGUGUUGACCACACCAGUGGUGAAGCCGUAAGAAGGAGAACUGGAAGGAAGCCCCUUGAAAACAAAGAGAAAGGAAACUUGGCAAUUUCCCUCCUGAAAAAUUUCUAAACUGAGGACCAGCUUUGUGGCAAGGAAACUGUUCAGCAAUGCCAAAGUGCUCCUGAACCAGUGUUUGUGAAACUGGCAAAUACAGGCAGCUCUUGUGAUGACAAAGACUUCCCCAAGGCUUCUUCUCACCAGUUAAUGGAGACUCAGUGGAUGCAAAGCUUACAACUAUGAAAACAAUACCUGUCUGACCUGGUAAACAGAUCAAUAGAACUGUAGGGCCCCCACAAGAUAUAGCUGAUUCCCAACCCCCGAAUCUGUGAAGGUGACUUUAUUUGGAAGAGAGUCUUUGAAGAUAUAAAUGAGGACCUCAAGAUGAGAUGUUCCUGGAUUUAAG
ensembl:lncRNA